rnacentral:rRNA from 1 species
UACGUAGGGUGCAAGCGUUGUCCGGAAUUAUUGGGCGUAAAGAGCUUGUAGGCGGUUUGUCGCGUCUGCUGUGAAAUUUCGGGGCUCAACCCCGAACUUGCAGUGGGUACGGGCAGACUAGAGUGUGGUAGGGGAGACUGGAAUUCCUGGUGUAGCGGUGAAAUGCGCAGAUAUCAGGAGGAACACCGAUGGCGAAGGCGGCUUUCUGGGUCCGCCCUGACGCUGAGGCGCGAAAGCGUGGGUAGCAAACAGG